rnacentral:rRNA from 1 species
UACGAAGGGGGCUAGCGUUGCUCGGAUUUACUGGGCGUAAAGGGCGCGUAGGCGGACAGUUUAGUCAGAGGUGAAAGCCCAGGGCUCAACCUUGGAAUUGCCUUUGAUACUGGCUGUCUUGAGUACGGGAGAGGUGAGUGGAACUCCGAGUGUAGAGGUGAAAUUCGUAGAUAUUCGGAAGAACACCAGUGGCGAAGGCGACUCACUGGCCCGUUACUGACGCUGAGGCGCGAAAGCGUGGGGGAGCAAACAGG